rnacentral:sRNA from 1 species
GCAGAUCGAGGGGCGGCGACAAACGGCGCCGGUUCUUACGCGAUCUCAAAUGCUUGGUCGAUUGAUCCCGACAGAAAAA